GACGAACGCUGGCGGCGUGCUUAACACAUGCAAGUCGAACGGAAAGGCCCUGCUUUUGUGGGGUGCUCGAGUGGCGAACGGGUGAGUAACACGUGAGUAACCUGCCCUUGACUUUGGGAUAACUUCAGGAAACUGGGGCUAAUACCGGAUAGGAGCUCCUGCUGCAUGGUGGGGGUUGGAAAGUUUCGGCGGUUGGGGAUGGACUCGCGGCUUAUCAGCUUGUUGGUGGGGUAGUGGCUUACCAAGGCUUUGACGGGUAGCCGGCCUGAGAGGGUGACCGGCCACAUUGGGUCUGAGAUACGGCCCAGACUCCUACGGGAGGCAGCAGUGGGGAAUAUUGCACAAUGGGCGGAAGCCUGAUGCAGCAACGCCGCGUGCGGGAUGGCGGCCUUCGGGUUGUAAACCGCUUUCGCCUGUGACGAAGCGUGAGUGACGGUAAUGGGUAAAGAAGCACCGGCUAACUACGUG
rnacentral:rRNA from 1 species